AACGUAGGAGACAAACGUUAUCCGGAGUUACUGGGCGUAAAGGGCGUGUAGGCGGUCUGUUAAGUCUGGCGUGAAAGCUCUCGGCUAAACCGGGAGAGGUCGUUGGAUACUGGCAAACUAGAGGACGGUAGAGGCGUGUGGAAUUCCGGGUGUAGUGGUGAAAUGCGUAGAGAUCCGGAGGAACAUCUGUGGCGAAGGCGGCCAUCUGGACCAGCACUGACACUGAGGCACGAAAGCGUGGGGAGCAAACAGG
rnacentral:rRNA from 1 species